GACGAACGCUGGCGGCGUGCUUAACACAUGCAAGUCGAACGAAGAGCGACGGAAGCUUGCUUCUAUCAAUCUUAGUGGCGAAUGGGUGAGUAACGCGUAAUCAACCUGCCCUUCAGAGGGGGACAACAGUUGGAAACGACUGCUAAUACCGCAUACGAUCUAACCUCGGCAUCGAGGAUAGAUGAAAGGUGGCCUCUACAUGUAAGCUAUCACUGAAGGAGGGGAUUGCGUCUGAUUAGCUAGUUGGAGGGGUAACGGCCCACCAAGGCGAUGAUCAGUAGCCGGUCUGAGAGGAUGAACGGCCACAUUGGGACUGAGACACGGCCCAGACUCCUACGGGAGGCAGCAGUGGGGAAUCUUCCGCAAUGGACGAAAGUCUGACGGAGCAACGCCGCGUGAGUGAUGACGGCCUUCGGGUUGUAAAGCUCUGUUAAUCGGGACGAAAGGCCUUCUUGCGAAUAGUGAGAAGGAUUGACGGUACCGGAAUAGAAAGCCACGGCUAACUACGUG
rnacentral:rRNA from 1 species